AUUGAACGCUGGCGGCAGGCCUAACACAUGCAAGUCGAACGAGUGGCGGACGGGUGAGUAAUGUCUGGGACACCGCCUGAUGGAGGGGGAAAAAUACUGAAAACGGUAGCUAAUAGCGCAUACCAUCGGAAGUGCCCAGAGGGGAUUAGCUAGUAGGUGGGGUAAAGGCUCACCUAGGCGACGAUCCCUAGCUGGUCUGAGAGGAUGACCAGCCACACUGGAACGGAGACACGGGCCAGACUCCGACGGGAGGCAGCAGUGGGGAAUAUUGCACAAUGGGCGCAAGCCUGAUGCAGCCAUGCCGCGUGUAUGAAGAAGGCCUUCGGGUUGUAAAGUACUUUCAGCGGGGAGGCGUUACCCGCAGAAGAAGCACCGGCUAACUCCGUGCCAGCAGCCGCGGUAAUUC
rnacentral:rRNA from 1 species